AGUUUAUGCCCCAUCCCUUGUGGAUAACAAGGAUUUAGUAUACACUUGUGGCAAAUAUAAUGCUGCUUUAGAAACCCAUGUGAACCCAAGAUAUAUCCGCUUUUUCGUCCUCAGAACAUACCACUGCCAUGCAAGCCCCUAACUUCAACCUCACAGGAACAGCAUUUCACAGAAGAGAAUAAAGAAGAUUCUGCACCAUUGCACCUGAUACAGUCAAAUAUCAGGUCUAACACUGAUGCCUCGAGAGUUGACCAUGCCUCGUGAGAGGUGCAUGUUUCAGGUUGCAAAACAGCUGGCACUGCUGGACUGCAGAGAGAACUGAAUGAUAGGGAAGCUAGUUUGGCUGUUGACCAGAUGGAAGAUCUUAUGUCAGUUCUGUCCUGAAGGACCCAAGUGAGGAUUACAAUCGGGGAGCAUUCCUGGGAAAACUACUGCAGAUCCAUUUGAAAAUGCUUGGCACAUUAUUCUGCCUGCCUGAAUGAUUACAAAAGAUUGAAGGAGCAUGGAAGAACCCAUCGUCAAACUCUCACAGGACCCUCCAGAGAUCCACGAGAAAGUCCUUCCCAGCCUGAAAGUAGUGGUUACAUUAAUGCCAGCUGAUAUUGGCAUUUCCAUGGAGCAAGUUUCUGCCUCCAUUGAGGCACAGGUGGAUAUCAGCCAAAGUCUUUGUGCUUUAAUGGAAUCCCAGCCUGUUCCAGUUCAGGAGGAGGGAAGCAGAAGUGGGAGGAAAUGGAAAGAAAAAUCAAUUCUUGGAUUAAUUACUACAGAUCUGGAACAGUGGAGAAGGAAAUUUCAUUACCUCACUCAUUUGGUCAAGGAUGGAGUAACCAUUGGUUGCCAUAACAAAUGAGAGAGAUCAAUUACCUCACAAGAUUGGAGAAAUGGGUG